rnacentral:lncRNA from 1 species
GGAAUAGAAUAUAAAGGGUUUUGUGGAAGGUAGUAAUGGUGGGGAGGAAUAUAUGGAGCUUGGGCGUAGACUUGGGCUUGGGAUUGGGGAUAGGGGCGAGGUGGUCUUUUGGGAUAGGAAUGGGUUCUAGCUACGACAGUCGCCACAUCCUCUUUCUUCUUUUUACCUCUAAAUGCGCCAGAUCCACCUUGAAUCGCUUGUGUGGUGGCUUUUAAUGCGGCAAAACUCACUAUUCGGCCGGUCUUAAUUCGGUCCUCUAUCAUCUCCCCCAUUUUGAGGACUUCCAUAAAAGAUUUUCCCAUUGCCAGAAGUAAAUGUUAAAAAUAGGUCUGAUCCUGCG